rnacentral:rRNA from 1 species
GAAUCCUACGGGGGGCAGCAGUGAGGAAUAUUGGUCAAUGGGCGAGAGCCUGAACCAGCCAAGUCGCGUGAAGGAUGAAGGAUCUAUGGUUUGUAAACUUCCUUUAUAUGGGAAUAAAGUGUGGAACGUGUUCCUUUUUGUAUGUACCAUAUGAAUAAGCAUCGGCUAACUCCGUGCCAGCAGCCGCGGUAAUACGGAGGAUGCGAGCGUUAUCCGGAUUUAUUGGGUUUAAAGGGUGCGUAGGCGGGACGGUAAGUCAGCGGUAAAAAUGCGGAGCUCAACUCCGUCGAGCCGUUGAAACCGUC